rnacentral:rRNA from 1 species
AAUAGAUACCCGGGUAGUCCUGGCAGUAAACGGUGCACGUUUGGUGUGGGCAGGUUCAGACCCUGUCCGUGCCGGAGCUAACGCGUUAAACGUGCCGCCUGGGAAGUACGGUCGCAAGAUUAAAACUCAAAGAAAUUGACGGGGGGCCCGCACAAGCGGUGGAGUAUGUGGCUUAAUUCGAUGCAACGCGAAGAACCUUACCUGGCCUUGACAUGCAUCUCUAAGUUAGUGAAAGCUAGCGAGUUGGCAGCAAUGUCAACAAUUUGCACAGGUGCUGCAUGGCUGUCGUCAGCUCGUGUCGUGAGAUGUUGGGUUAAGUCCCGCAACGAGCGCAGCCCCUGUGUCCAGUUGCCCGCAAGGGAUCUCUGGACAGACUGCCCUGUGAAACGGGGAGGAAGGUGGGAUGACGUCAAGUCAGUAUGGCCCUUACGGCCAGGGCUGCACACGUACUACGAAUGCCCAGAACAGAAUGAACCGAGACCGCGAGGUGGAGGAAAUCGAUAAAUCUGGGCCCAGUUCGGAUUGGG